rnacentral:rRNA from 1 species
CCUACGGGAGGCAGCAGUGAGGAAUAUUGGUCAAUGGCCGGAAGGCUGAACCAGCCAAGCCGCGUGAAGGACGAAGGUGCCAAGCAUUGUAAACUUCUUUUGUCAAGGGACAAAAUCAGGCUCGAGAGCCUGACCGAGGGUACUUGACGAAAAAGCAUCGGCUAACUCAGUGCCAGCAGACGCGGUAAUACGGAGGAUGCGAGCGUUAUCCGGAUUUAUUGGGGUAAAAGGGUGCGUAGGCGGACUGUUAAGUCAGCGGUAAAAAUGCGGUGCUCAACGCCGUCGAGCCGUUGAAACUGGCGUUCUUGCGUGGGCGAGAAGUAUGCGGAAUGCGUGGUGUAGCGGUGAAAUGCAUAGAUAUCACGCAGAACUCCGAUUGCGAAGGCAGCAUACCGGCGCCCUACUGACGCUGAGGCACGAAAGCGUGGGUAUCGAACAGGAUUAGAUACCCCAGUAGUC